CGGGGAGCGCCGUGUUUACGGCCGGGCCGGGGGGCGGUGCCAGUGCCGCCGUACUGGUGCCGGUGCCAGCGGCAGCACCGCCCUCCCGUCAGCUGGGACUCACGGGCCGGGGCGACCCCGUGGGACAGCUCACGUCAUGGUCGACUACUACGAAGCGCUGGGGGUGAGCCGCAAUGCCACCGCUGAGGACAUCAAGAAGGCGUACAGGAAGGCUGCGCUGAAAUGGCACCCGGAUAAAAACCCAGACAACAAGGAGUACGCUGAGCAGAGGUUCAAGGAGAUCGCCGAGGCAUACGAAGUGCUGUCGGACAAGCAGAAGCGCGAUGUCUACGACCGCUAUGGCAAGGAUGGACUCAUGGGAGCAGCAGGACCAGGGGGCUCCAGGGCCAGUGCUGGGGCCCCUGAAUUCACCUUCACCUUCCGCAGCGCUCACGAUGUCUUCCGGGAGUUCUUUGGUGGACGAGACCCCUUUGCUGAAUUCUUUGACGACAUGCUGCCCUUCUCUGAGCUGCGAGGCCCUGGCCCUCGGCACCAUGGGGGAGGCCACUUCUUUUCUCCCUUCCCAGGAUCCUCAGAUUUCUUCGCCUCAUCCUUCAGCUCUGGUGCAGAUGCAGGCAUGGGCUUCCGCUCUGUUUCCACCUCCACUACCUUUGUUAACGGCAGGCGUAUCACCACCAAGAGGAUUAUUGAGAACGGGCGGGAGCGGGUGGAAGUGGAGGAGGAUGGGGAGCUGAAGUCGAUCCACAUCGAUGGUGUUCCUGAUGACAUGGCGCUGGGGCUGGAGCUGAGCCGGCGGGAGCAGCAAGCCUUCCCCAGACCACGGCCCCCCUCACCGCCAGCACCGGCCCCACACCACACCUCGAGCUCCUCACCUGUCUGCCUCUACACGGAUAGCGAGGAUGAGGAUGAGGACUUGCAGCUGGCCAUGGCCUACAGUCUCUCUGAGAUGGAAGCUGCGGGGCACCACCAAGCAGGUGGGCACAGCCCCGGCUCCCUGUCGGCACUGGGGGGCAGCCACAGCAGCCCCUCCUCCACCCACAGAUCCCGUGGUGCCCAGGGGAGGCUGGAGCAGGAGCCACAGGGGGCCAGCAGUUCUGCUACAGUGGGGCACGAACCUGUCCCCAAAGUGAAGCUGUGGCACUGUCCCCUGCUCUGAGCGUGGGGCAGGGAGAGGAAAGCAGGUGUGGAGUCCCACUGCUUGGAACUCAGCUCCUGCCUCCCCUAGCAAGGGAGGGGAUCUCUUCUGCCCUUCCUCCUUGCUCAGGUGUGUUCUGAGGCUGCUGCGCCCGGGGACCGCGCACGCCCACUCGCCCACGGAGGCUCUCCCAACCAGGACUCCGCUUUCUCCCUGCACGGCCACCCCCUGCCACCCCCUUCCCCCAGCACCCUCUGGCUCCAUGGGAUGCGGUGAGGGGGGGCAUGACAGGGCUUGUGGCCGAGCAAUACCUGGGGCUGUGGGGAGAGGCCCUGGGCACCACAGCGUGGUGGAGAGGGUGGGGAUGGGGGGUUGCUGUAGAUUAGGCUGCUGGGGGGGUGCUGGCUGUACGCAGCGAGGGGCAGCAUGGCUGGGCUCGGCCAGCAGGGCUGGGCUCUGC